rnacentral:rRNA from 1 species
GAGCGGCGUACGGGUGCGGAACACGUGUGCAACCUACCUUUAUCAGGGGGAUAGCCUUUCGAAAGGAAGAUUAAUACCCCAUAAUAUAUUGACUGGCAUCAGUCGAUAUUGAAAACUCCGGUGGAUAGAGAUGGGCACGCGCAAGAUUAGAUAGUUGGUAGGGUAACGGCCUACCAAGUCAGUGAUCUUUAGGGGGCCUGAGAGGGUGAUCCCCCACACUGGUACUGAGACACGGACCAGACUCCUACGGGAGGCAGCAGUGAGGAAUAUUGGACAAUGGGUGAGAGCCUGAUCCAGCCAUCCCGCGUGAAGGACGACGGCCCUAUGGGUUGUAAACUUCUUUUGUAUAGGGAUAAACCUACUCUCGUGAGAGUAGCUGAAGGUACUAUACGAAUAAGCACCGGCUAACUCCGUGCCAGCAGCCGCGGUAAUACGGAGGGUGCAAGCGUUAUCCGGAUUUAUUGGGUUUAAAGGGUCCGUAGGCGGAUCUGUAAGUCAGUGGUGAAAUCUCAUAGCUUAACUAUGAAACUGCCAUUGAUACUGCAGGUCUUGAGUAAAGUAGAAGUGGCUGGAAUAAGUAGUGUAGCGGUGAAAUGCAUAGAUAUUACUUAGAACACCAAUUGCGAAGGCAGGUCACUAUGUUUUAACUGACGCUGAUGGACGAAAGCGUGGGGAGCGAACAGGAUUAGAUACCCUGGUAGUCCACGCCGUAAACGAUGCUAACUCGUUUUUGGGCUUUAGGGUUCAGAGACUAAGCGAAAGUGAUAAGUUAGCCACCUGGGGAGUACGUUCGCAAGAAUGAAACUCAAAGGAAUUGACGGGGGCCCGCACAAGCGGUGGAUUAUGUGGUUUAAUUCGAUGAUACGCGAGGAACCUUACCAAGGCUUAAAUGGGAAUUGACAGGUUUAGAAAUAGACUUUUCUUCGGACAAUUUUCAAGGUGCUGCAUGGUUGUCGUCAGCUCGUGCCGUGAGGUGUUAGGUUAAGUCCUGCAACGAGCGCAACCCCUGUCACUAGUUGCCAUCAUUCAGUUGGGGACUCUAGUGAGACUGCCUACGCAAGUAGAGAGGAAGGUGGGGAUGACGUCAAAUCAUCACGGCCCUUACGCCUUGGGCCACACACGUAAUACAAUGGCCAGUACAGAGGGCAGCUACCAGGCGACUGGAUGCGAAUCUCGAAAGCUGGUCUCAGUUCGGAUUGGAGUCUGCAACUCGACUCUAUGAAGCUGGAAUCGCUAGUAAUCGCAUAUCAGCCAUGAUGCGGUGAAUACGUUCCCGGGCCUUGUACACACCGCCCGUCAAGCCAUGGAAGUUUGGGGUACCUGAAGUCGGUGACC